rnacentral:tRNA from 1 species
GCUGGUAUAGCUCAGGUGGUAGAGCGUCGCAUUGGUAGUGCGGAGGUCACGGGUCCGAGUCCCGUUACCAGCU